UGCCGCCCGCCAACCCAAGAACCCAGAGCAGAAGCCGAGAGGAAAUCCGGGAGAACGCUACCCUCGCGAUGUGAAAGCAGUAAUUAAUUGAAUAAUGAAGCAAGCCGCGGGGCCGGGAAAGCCCAGUGCGGAGGAGCGUGACCCCGGGCGGCACAGACCGCAGAAAAAAUCUCCGGCAAUCUUUUUGCGCCAUAAUGACGGGCGCGGACACAAAAACGGGCAAGAGCAGAAAUAGAAACAGAAGUCGCGGCAGAACCGCAUCAGAGUCGGCAUCAGAGCCGGCGUCGGACAACCGGAGUGGGCCGGAGCAGAAGCCGGAAUCGGAAUGCAAAUGAGCGGCAAAAAGUGAACGAAUGCCUAAUGAAGUGAAGUGAAAUGUAAAACGCGACAAAGCAACCAUUGCGGACAAAAAAGUCACCAGAAAGACCAUGUUCAUAUCGUAUCUGGGCAGUAA
rnacentral:sRNA from 1 species